UCCUAUCAAAUAUUGUUUAUCGUACAUCUAUCCCUCCAAAACUAACACAUAUCCACCCAGUGCACACGAACAAGCAAAUAGGGCAACGCAUGUUCAAGAAAACAUAAUAAAAAAACAUAUGAAUAUAAACUAAUAAUAUGCAUAUAUAAAAAUAAAAAGUAAAAAAAAGAAAUUAGAAUGACAUAAAUUUUAUUAAAAUAUAAUGGAAAUGUAUAUAUUAAUAGAUAUUAAAUGAAAUAAAAAAUAUACAAAACAUAAGAAUUGAAAGAGAUAGCAUAUAAAUUUAAAAUAAAAAAUCUAAUAUGAGAAUAUAAAAAAUAAAAAAUAAAACUUAGAAACUAACAAAAAUGAUAAUUGAGCAUAGAGAGUAAACUAAAAAUGCAAAACAAGAUACUGCUUAAAAACACAGAAAACGAGAUCUAUAAAACGAAAAAUUAAAUAUAAAUACAAUCAUUACAAAAAAUAUAAAGUAAAAACACCAAGAAAUGAUUCUAAUUAGCUUGUUUUCAUAACUAUAACUAUCAGCUUGCUAGCUUGUCCGAGCAAAUGAUGCAAUGUUGAAAAAUAUUAUUUCUUUUCCGAACCUUAUCUCUCUCGUUCAAAGAAAUUGUGAACACAUCUAGAAGCGUAAAGUUUUUUUUCUUCCUUAGGUAUAAAAAAGAAUAUUUUUUUUCUUGUGGGUAUCUCAAAUAAGAUAUAAAGAGAAAAGAUUUAGACACAAAAGAAAAUUGAUAGAGAAUAUUGUGGGGUGGAUAUAUAAAAAAAAAAUGCGACAGUAAUGAUAGGUUUCAAUAUGGAUUUGAGGCAUAGUUGUGCUUUUCAAAUGAUGAGAAAUUUAAGGUUAGUGAAUAAGGAAGGAUUUCCCUAGUUUAAAAAGAAGUCAUAGCCUCUAGUACUCAUGUUAAGGAAUGGUGCAUGCAUGUAAAGGGAAUGUGUUUAUUUAUCGAUAUAUCAAAGGGUAUAAAAUUAAAAGAAAAUAUAUUAUAAUAUCGUUUAAUGUGAUUGAGGUGAUUCUAGGUUUCAAUUAAAAUAGGGAUUUUUGUAUGGAGUUAUAGUGAUAGAUGAUGUAUAUGUUUAAAAUUUAGGACGAAAAAGGAUAUGAGGUCAAGAAGAAAUUAGGAUGGAAAGUGUUUGCACCCUAUGUCGGCAACCAAAAUGAUCCACUGAGUGGGCACCACGUGGACAGGUUGUACAUAAAGAUAAGGUGUAGAGUUGUCACGACUGCUAUCAAACUAAAUAGAAGGUUUAGUCAUUCUAGGCUAAAUGACCAUAAGAGGAAUCAAUAGUGCAGAUCGAACAAUGCUAGAACUUUGUGAAAUCAGUAAUAGUUUUAGCUUAUGGUC
rnacentral:lncRNA from 1 species